rnacentral:lncRNA from 1 species
UGGGGGAGCGGCAGGAGGCGUCAUCGCAUCUGUUUAUUCAAACAACGCUCGUGCAGCGUUCUAAACCCUAAACCUUCCCCAAUUUGGCGGGAAAUUUGCGAAAAAAAAAAAUGUUUCUCGAAAAGCGGGCCCACUUUCUCCGGGGUUUCCGGCCUAUCAAAAAAAACCAAAGGAAAAAAAGAAAAACCCCGAUGCCUUGCGAUGAUGAUGCCUCCCCUGUUGUUGUGAUUUGCCGCGGAAGGUUCGUAGGGGGCUCCUCACAAGCCGAUCAUCCUCGCCUUCCACACCCCCCCU